GUCCUGGCCCGAAACUGGAUGCGCACGCCCCUUCCCUGCGGCGGGGAGGCUGACAAGGCUCCGCUCUAUCUCUAGCGCCUCGGAGCGCUCUCCGGCUUUGCUGUCUAGCCCGGCGGCAGCGCGAUCUCUUAGGCACUUUCACCGCCUUCCUCUCCAGGCCCUGCCCCUUUGACGCCGGCCGUCGCGAUAUUGCGGAGACUGGAUUUCAGCUUCGUGGUCGGCGGAGCGGCCCCUGGAGGGCGCAGUGCGCAGGCGUGAGCGGUCGGGCCCCGACGCGCGCGGGUCUCGUUUGGAGCGGGAGUGAGUUCCUGAGCGAGUGGACCCGGCAGCGGGCGAUAGGGGGGCCAGGUGCCUCCACAGUCAGCCAUGGCAGCGCUGCGCUACGCGGGGCUGGACGACACGGACAGUGAGGACGAGCUGCCUCCGGGCUGGGAGGAGAGAACCACCAAGGACGGCUGGGUUUACUACGCCAAGUAAGGGGGCCGCAGUGGGGCCGCGGACGCACCUGGGACCCUGCACAGCCCACGGACGCCACCUGCGCGGGGAGGACGCGCACUCCAGCGCAGCGCGUGCGGUGCAAAGUGAAAGUAACUGUUAAGGAGCUUCAGGGAAAAGGGUCCAGGGUUCCCAGUAGGGGCCGGCCCCCUUGGUGGGCCUCGGGUCCAGCGGGGGUCACCUGGUGGCUUCCCGGCGCGCCCUCUGCUGUUCAGGAUGCAGCACUGCGCGGCGCGGCGAGGGCAAAGCGGCCUCAUCCCCGCCAAAAAAUAAAGAUGUUUUAAAAAGCGCA
rnacentral:lncRNA from 1 species